rnacentral:rRNA from 1 species
CCUACGGGUGGCAGCAGUGAGGAAUAUUGGUCAAUGGCCGGAAGGCUGAACCAGCCAAGCCGCGUGAAGGACGAAGGUGCCAAGCAUUGUAAACUUCUUUUGUCAAGGGACAAAAUCAGGCUCGAGAGCCUGACCGAGGGUACUUGAAGAAAAAGCAUCGGCUAACUCCGUGCCAGCAGCCGCGGUAAUACGGAGGAUGCGAGCGUUAUCCGGAUUUAUUGGGUUUAAAGGGUGCGUAGGCGGACUGUUAAGUCAGCGGUAAAAGCCCGGGGCUCAACCCCGGCGAGCCGUUGAAACUGGGUGGCGUGAGGUGACGAGAGGCAUGAGGAAUGCGCAGUGUAGCGGUGAAAUGCGUAGAUAUUGCGCAGAACACCGAUGGCGAAGGCAGCAUACGGGAGGCGAUCUGACGCUGAGGCACGAAAGCGUGGGUAGCGAACAGGAUUAGAUACCCUAGUAGUC